rnacentral:rRNA from 14 species
GUUUGAUCCUGGCUCAGAUUGAACGCUGGCGGUAUGCCUAACACAUGCAAGUCGAACGAGGUAGCAAUACCUAGUGGCGGACGGGUGAGGAAUACGUAGGGAUCUGCCUUUAAGUGGGGGAUAACCCGGGGAAACCCGGAUUAAUACCGCAUGAUCUCGCAAGAGCAAAGUGGGGGAUCGCAAGACCUCACGCUUUUAGAGGAACCUACGUCGGAUUAGCUUGUUGGUGAGGUAAUGGCUCACCAAGGCGACGAUCCGUAACUGGUCUGAGAGGAUGAUCAGUCACACCGGAACUGAGACACGGUCCGGACUCCUACGGGAGGCAGCAGUGGGGAAUAUUGGACAAUG